GGGGUCUGUUCUGAGAAUUGUUUGCAAAAGGAAUAAGUAGUCAGGCGUGUAUCCAACCUGCUUUGAAUAUAUAAGGAUCUUGUCAAAUUCCCUCCUCUCAGCAAAGGCAGCAACUACCUUCGGUGUUGCUCUGGCUUUUAUAUAGAUUUUCAAGGCCAGGUCAUUGUCCACAGUCUUCACAAGAUCCCCUAGUUCCUCGCUGCAUUCCAACUUGUCAUCAGCCAACCAAUUCUCCAAGAGGUUCUUCUUAUUCUGGUUUACAA
rnacentral:misc_RNA from 1 species